AUCUAGGAGAACUGAAUGGUUUUGUGGGCCAGGCCCAGGACUCUGCUGCCCUGCACACCCUGGGGACACUGCUCCCUGUAUCCCAGCCACUGUAGCUCAAGCUGUGGUUCAAAAGGGCCCAGGUACAGCUUGGUGACUGCUUCAGAGGAUGCAAGCCAUAAACAUGGUGAGCUCCACAUGGUGUUAAGCCUGUGGCUGCAUAGAGUACAAGAGUUAAGAAUUGGGUGCCUCCGCCUAGAUUCCAGAGGAAGUAUGGAAAAGCCUGAGUGUUUCAGGCAGAAGCCUGCUGUAGGGGCAGAUUCCUCACUCUACUAGGGCAGUGAAGAGGAAUAAUAUGGGGUUGGAGCCCCCACAGAGUCCACACCGGGGCACUGCCUAGUGGAGCUGUGAGAAGAGCUCCACCAUCCUCCAGACUGUAGAAUGGGAGACCCAUCAGCAGCUUGCAGGCAGUAUGUGGAAAAGCCAAAUGGAUUCAGCUAUAACCUGUGAAGGCAGCUGCAGGGGCUGAACCCUGCCAAGCCACAGAAGCGGAGUUGUUCAAGGCCUUGGGAGUCCACCCCUUCCAUCAGUGUGGCCUGGAUGCGAGACAUGGAAUCAAAGGAGAUUAUUUUGGAGUUUUAAGAUUUAAUGACUGCCCUGCUGGGUUUCAGACUUUCAGAGGGCCUGUAGCCCCUCUCGUGUGGCCCAUGUCUCCCUUUUGGAAGAGGAGUAUUUUCCCACCUAUAUUCCCAUUGUAUCUUGUAAGUAACUAACUUGUUUUUGAUAUUACAGGCUCAUAGGCAGAAGAGACUAGCCUUGUCUCAGAUGAGACUUCGGACUUUGGUCUUUUGAGUUAAUGCUACAAUGAGUUAACACUUUGGAGAUAAUUGGGAAGGCAUGAUUGUAUUUUGAAAUGUGAGACGAGCACGACGCGUGGGAGGGGACAAGAGUGGGAUGAUAUAGUUUGGAUGUGUGUUCCUGCUCAAAUUUCAUACUGAAAUGUAAUUCCCAAUGUUAUAAGUGAGGCCUGGUGGGAGGUGAUUGGAUCAUGGGGGCAGGUUUCUCAUGAAUGGUUUAGCACCAUCUCCCUUGGUACUGUCCUCACAACAGUGAGCGAGUUCUUGUGAGAUCUGGUCAUUUAAAACUGUGUAGCCCCUCCUCACUUUGCCCUGUUGCUCCUGAUCUCACCUUGCGAUGGGCCUGCCCCCUCUUCGCCUUCCACCAUGAUGUUUCCUGAGGCUUCCCCAGAAGCAGAUGCUGCUGUUAUUUCUGUACACCCUGCAGAACCAUGAGCCAAUUAAACCUGUUUUCUUUAUAAAUUA
rnacentral:lncRNA from 1 species